GACGAAGGAUGCAAGCGUUAUCCGGAUUCAUUGGGUUUAAAGGGUGCGUAGGCGGACUUGUAAGUCAGUGGUGAAAUCUCUCAGCUUAACUGAGAAACUGCCAUUGAUACUGCAGGUCUAGAGUAUAGAUGACGUUGGCGGAAUAUGACAUGUAGUGGUGAAAUACUUAGAGAUGUCAUAGAACACCGAUUGCGAAGGCAGCUAACGAAACUAUAACUGACGCUGAGGCACGAAAGUGCGGGGAUCAAACAGG
rnacentral:rRNA from 1 species